UAGGGAAUCUUCGGCAAUGGACGAAAGUCUGGCCGAGCAACGCCGCGUGAGUGAAGAAGGUUUUCGGAUCGUAAAACUCUGUUGUUAGAGAAGAACAAGGACGUUAGUAACUGAACGUCCCCUGACGGUAUCUAACCAGAAAGCCACGGCUAACUACGUGCCAGCAGCCGCGGUAAUACGUAGGUGGCAAGCGUUGUCCGGAUUUAUUGGGCGUAAAGCGAGCGCAGGCGGUUUCUUAAGUCUGAUGUGAAAGCCCCCGGCUCAACCGGGGAGGGUCAUUGGAAACUGGGAGACUUGAGUGCAGAAGAGGAGAGUGGAAUUCCAUGUGUAGCGGUGAAAUGCGUAGAUAUAUGGAGGAACACCAGUGGCGAAGGCGGCUCUCUGGUCUGUAACUGACGCUGAGGCUCGAAAGCGUGGGGAGCAAACAGG
rnacentral:rRNA from 1 species